rnacentral:rRNA from 1 species
AUGCAUGGAGAGUGGAAUGGUCUACAAGCCAAGUUCAUGGAAGAGUGUGCUUACGCAUAUUACAUUCUCUGUUUUGCUCAUCAAUUGCAUCUUGCUAUUGUUGCCGCAUCUAAAGAAGUAGCCGAUGUUCACAACUUUUUUGAUCAUCUUGCUCUUGUUGUCAACACGGUUGUGUCUUCGAGUAAGAGAAAUGAUGAGUUGCAUGCUAAUCAAGUGGCUGAAAUGGAGCAUCUCAUUGAGCUUAGUGAGCUUGAAACCGGAAGUGGGGCUAAUCAAGUUGGAACUUUACAACGGCCUUGUGACACUAGGUGGAGUUCUCACUAUGCUUCUAUCUACAGCCUUUUGAAACUACACAAACCUACAUUCUUGGUACUUAAAAGCAUUGCUACUUCCAAAGGUUCAGGUACAUCACCUUCAGCACGAGCAAAGGCUUCUGGUGCUGUUAAGUUGAUGAUGUGUUUUGACUUCAUAUUUGUUCUUCAUGUCAUGGAAGAACUUAUGGGAAUCACAGACUUGCUAUGCAAAAAGUUGCAACAAAAAUCUCAAGAUAUUGUGAAUGCCAUGGAUGAUGUUAAAACUACAAAAUUGUUGAUUCAGGAACUAAGAAAUAAUGGUUGGAACAAGCUUAAAGCUGAUGUGCUUUCAUUUUGUGGGAAACAUGGAGUUCCAACACCACAUUUUGAUGAACUCUAUGUGGAUUUCAUUAACUCACGUGUGGAUGAUGAAACUACAGUUGAGCAUCAUUAUCGGUGUGACGUUUUCAUGGUUGCUGUUGAUCAGCAAGCAUAA